ensembl:lncRNA
CUUGUUUUUAACCCUAGGUAGUGUCCAAUGAGCUUGUUUUUAACCCUAGGUAGUGUCCAGUCCAGUUGAGCUUGUUUUUAACCCUAGGUAGUGUCCAGUUGAGCUUGUUUUUAACCCUAGGUAGUGUCCAGCUGAGCUUGUUUUUAACCCUAGGUAGUGUCCAGAUGAGCUUGUUUUUAACCCUAGGUAGUGUCCAGAUGAGCUUGUUUUUAACCCUAGGUAGUGUCCAGAUGAGCUUGUUUUUAACCCUAGGUAGUGUCCAGAUGAGCUUGUUUUUAACCCUAGGUAGUGUCCAGAUGAGCUUGUUUUUAACCCUAGGUAGUGUGCAGAUGAGCUUGUUUUUAACCCUAGGUAGUGUCCAGCUGAGCUUGUUUUUAACCCUAGGUAGUGUCCAGAUGAGCUUGUUUUUAACCCUAGGUAGUGUCCAGUUGAGCUGUAGUGUGUGCGGUACUCUGUGUUUUGUACCAGUUGAGAACUUCGGUCUAAUUCCCUGAGAUCUGGUUCUUCUCUGGAAAAAUCAUUAUUUAAGUAUUCUUGUGGUUUUACUGCCAGGGCCCUGCCAGGGUUUUACUGCCAGGGCCUGCUCUAGACGUUCCAGACUCUACUGUAGGUCAUGUGCUGUGGGUGACAGCAGGCAUAGGUCAUCUGAGAAUAGCAGGCAUAUAACCUCUGAAUUGUGGAGACUAACACAAGGGGCUGAAGAUUUUUCUAGAAUAGUGGCCCAUUCUUUGAUGUAAAUAUUGUAGAGUGCAGGACUCAGAUUGCAACCCUGACGAAGGCCCCGCCUCUGGUUAAAGAAUUCUGUUCUUUUCUUACCAAUUUUGAUGCUGCACAUAUUGCCAGUGAUUUAAUGAUGUCAUAUGUUUUCUCUCUCCUCUCCUCUCCUCUCCUCUCCUCUCCUCUC